rnacentral:rRNA from 1 species
UACGUAGGUGGCAAGCGUUAUCCGGAAUUAUUGGGCGUAAAGAGCGCGCAGGUGGUUGAUUAAGUCUGAUGUGAAAGCCCACGGCUUAACCGUGGAGGGUCAUUGGAAACUGGUCGACUUGAGUGCAGAAGAGGGAAGUGGAAUUCCAUGUGUAGCGGUGAAAUGCGUAGAUAUAUGGAGGAACACCAGUGGCGAAGGCGACUUUCUGGUCUAUUAUUGACGCUGAGGCUCGAAAGCAUGGGUAGCAAACAGGAUUAGA